CUGGUCAUAUGAUCAAAAAGCUUAAUACUCUAUGUAAUUACCUCUGUAGAGCUCGCAAACUUCGUUAUCGUAAUAUUGUUUUCGUAUUUCAUUAUCUAUAUAAUAUAUUCUAUAUUAUUUGUUGUCUUUCCCCGCUGAUGAUUCAAUGAUACAAAUGUGUUUGUAGUAUGUUUUAAAUAUGGUUCUUUCACUUAAUAAUUU
rnacentral:lncRNA from 1 species